CCUACGGGAGGCAGCAGUGGGGGAUAUUGCACAAUGGGGGAAACCCUGAUGCAGCGACGCCGCGUGAGUGAAGAAGUAUUUCGGUAUGUAAAGCUCUAUCAGCAGGGAAGAAAAUGACAGUACGUGACCACGAAGCCCCGGAUAACUACGUGCCAGCAGCCGCGGCAAUACGUAGGGGGCAAGCGUUAUCCGGAUUUACUGGGUGUAAAGGGGGCGUAGACGGUUAUGUAGGUCUGGAGUGAAAGCCCGGGGGCCAACCCCGGGACCGCUUUGGAAACUGUGUCACGGGAGUACAGGAGGGGCAGGCGGAAUGCCUGGUGUAGCGGUGAAAUGCGUAGAUAUCGGGAGGAACACCGGCGGCGAAGGCGGCAUGCUGGACUGAAACUGACGUUGAGGCUCGAAAGCGUGGGGAGCAAACAGGAUUAGAUACCCGAGUAGUC
rnacentral:rRNA from 1 species